rnacentral:piRNA from 1 species
UGGUUGGAUCUUAGUUACUGACACAAGCCU